GCUGGGAAGCAUACCGCUGGGUCGGGGCAGUGGGUGUGGAGCCUUUUAUUGGGGUUUAAUGUUCGUCCACGACCCGAAUAGGUAGAAAUACCGAAAGAAAACAUUAAA
rnacentral:sRNA from 1 species